UCCUGGUUAGCUCAGCUGGUAGAGCAAUACUGGAGAUGAAGAGGUUCCUGGUUUGAUACCAGGACCAGGCU
rnacentral:tRNA from 1 species